AAUAUAGAUUGGCGUAUACUGUAUACAUGCAGCAGCGUGCACAAGGAGGUUUAUAUCCUUCUGUUAUUGACAGCUUAAAAAUACAAAACAUUGCGAGCAACAUAAGCGAAAAAGACAAAACACUAAAAGGUAGUUAGUGACAAAAUGUGAAGUAUAAAUUUUUAUAUCAAAAUAUUCGUUACUAAAAAUACGCUCCUCACCUCAAUAACUCUACGUCACUCCUAUAAUUUCACGACGAACACUGUUCUUUUAUUUGUAUUGUUUAACACUUGAGCAGUUUUUGAAAUAAUCAUGAAACAUCAUAGUCGUGUAUACUCACAUAGGAAUUACGUUGGCUAUGAGAAGGAAAAGAAAAAAGUUCCGUA